UACGUAGGGUGCAAGCGUUGUUCGGAAUUAUUGGGCGUAAAGCGCGUGUAGGUGGUUGGCUAAGUCGAUUGUAAAAGCCCUAGGCUCAACCAAGGAAGUGCAUUCGAAACUAGCCAACUAGAGGACGGCAGAGGAAGGUGGAAUUCCAAGUGUAGAGGUGAAAUUCGUAGAUAUUUGGAGGAAUACCGGCGGCGAAGGCGGCCUUCUGGACCGUUCCUGACACUGAGACGCGAAAGCGUGGGAGCA
rnacentral:rRNA from 1 species